UCCAGGCUGUCCCCAGACACUGACUGAGCACAGCCAGACACUGGAGGCUGGCAGUUUCUACCCAGUGUGGGAACUGCUCCCUGUGUGGUUGACUGAGACCUUGGCAGAGAUGCAUUGCAUCUGAAGGUGCUCCCUGUCCAAUCCACCUCCCUCUCAUCUUUCACAGAGGCCAAUUCCCAGCAAUCAUCUGGUGGUCCUAACUCCAUCUCAGCAUCUGCCUCUUGGAGGACCCAACUGGGGCGUUAAGCACAAUCAAUGAAGGGAUGAAUAAAGAGAGUUUCUUAAAACACCAAGUGUGAGGAUGGCCCUUCUGGAAACAUCAACUCCAACAAAUGGAAUCGAAGUUUCAAAGAAAGAAAGACUGGAAAGCUAAGCCCCAGGAAGGUCAAAGAGCUCAUCCAGCGUCACCGAGCCGGAAAGUAGGAGAGAUUUGGAUCAGGUGUACCUGACUUCUGACCUAAGUUUGUUAUCACCGUGUUUCCCAAAUGUCCACCCACACACCACCUCCGCCAUGUGGCCACACCCGCCCACGUCUGCCUACUGUGAGUCUUUAGUUCAGGGUCAGACACCUCUUUCUGGAAAGGGCUGUGUUGUAGAGUCAACUUCUGAACGAUGA
rnacentral:lncRNA from 13 species